rnacentral:SRP_RNA from 1 species
GCCGGGUGCGGUAGCGCGUGCCUGUAGUCCCAGCUACUCAAGAGGCUGAGGUGGGAAGAUCGCUUGAGCCCAGGAGUUCUGGGCUGUAGUGCACCAUGCCAACUGGGUGUCCGCACUAAGUUCGGCAUCAAUAUGGUGACCUCCAGGAGCAGGGAACCAUCAGGUUGUCUAAGGAGGGGUGAACCGGCCCAGGUCGGAAACGGAGCAGGCCAAAACUCCCAUGCUGAUCAGUAGUGGGAUCACGCCUGUGAAUAGCCACUGCACUCCAGCCUGGGUAACACAGUGAGACCUCGUCUCU